AGUAAUACAUCGGAACGUGUCUUCUAGUGGGGGAUAACUGCCCGAAAGGGCAGCUAAUACCGCAUGAGACCUGAGGGUGAAAGCGGGGGAUCGCAAGACCUCGCGCUGGAAGAGCGGCCGAUGUCCGAUUAGCUAGUUGGUGAGGUAAAGGCUCACCAAGGCGACGAUCGGUAGCUGGUCUGAGAGGACGACCAGCCACACUGAGACUGAGACACGGCCCAG
rnacentral:rRNA from 1 species